rnacentral:rRNA from 1 species
UACGUAGGUGGCGAGCGUUGUCCGGAAUUACUGGGCGUAAAGGGCGCGUAGGCGGCCUGUCAAGUCAGAUGUGAAAUCCCCGGGCUUAACCCGGGAACUGCAUUUGAAACUGGCGGGCUUGAGGGCAGGAGAGGAAAGCGGAACUCCCAGUGUAGCGGUGAAAUGCGUAGAUAUUGGGAGGAACACCAGUGGCGAAGGCGGCUUUCUGGACUGUCACUGACGCUGAGGCGCGAAAGCCAGGGGAGCGAAC